GCCUGGCUAAUUUUUGUACUUUUAGUAGAGACAGGGUUUUAUCAUAUUAGUCACGCUGAUCUCGAACUCCUGACCUCAGGUGAUCCGCCUGCCUCAGCCUCCCAAAGUGCUGGGAUUAUGGGCAUAAGCCACCGCAUCCGGCCUAAAUUCUCCUUUAAACAUAGGUAACCAGGGAUGCCAAAACAGCACAGGAUUUCUAAACAUUCUAUUUGUUUAAGGAAACCAUUAUCUAUGGGGGCAUUUUGUGAAAAAUCAAUCUGUUCAUUUUAAAAAUAAUCUUAGAAGAGGUGAAGUGAGGUCUCAAGGGUAGCAGAUUAACUCCUAGGAUAAGCAAACAUUUAAUUGUCCUUAAUUUUAAACAUUAUCAGUUUGAGCUUGAUCAUGAUUCCUUUAAAGUGGCUUUAUUUCUCAACACAUCAAGCAUGUGUUGACAAGUUUCUUGAAAGAGAGUUGGAAUAAUAAUUGAAAGAAAGAUAAUUAUUCUUUGCUUGAUGUUUGGCUAUCUUAAUGCCAUCUAAUGUCAAUAAAAGUUACAGCAAAUGCCCUAAGAGUAUCUGAGUUAUUUUCUUGUGAUGGAUAUGAAACACUA
rnacentral:lncRNA from 10 species